UAGGAAAGUGAUCAUCAUCCCAAAAUAUGUUACACACAGAGUGAAUAUGAAGAGCACUAACCAAUACUUUAGGAACUCUGCAAUUGAUCCAGUUCCAAUUCCGGCCAUGCCAUUCCCAAUCCCUACAACUGCAAGUGUAGCAAUGAAAAAAUAUGGUAUCUCACCCACAGCCCAUGAUACUGGAUAAAAAAUUGGAAGAUACAUCCCAGCCCUUUUCUCUCGGAAAUAAACCAACCUGUCUGUGCCAAUCUGAGGAAUGAUGUUGUUGGCUGAGAUCACUCCUAUGAGUAUAA
rnacentral:misc_RNA from 1 species